rnacentral:lncRNA from 1 species
UCAGAUCCUUAGACCUCUUGAGAAGGGAAACGACGCUCCCUUCUUCUCCUUCUACAGAGAUCCAAGCAAAAUCAUACCCCUCCUCUCCAAAAUUGCACACAAACAGACCCCUCUUUUUUUUUUCUUCAUCUUCAUUUUUUCGAAAACACACACAGAGAAAAUCAGAACCCCGAUGUUGCUGCGCAACCUGCCAGCGCCAUAACAAAAAAAAAAGUAAUAACUCUUUCUUCUCCAACCAUCUUGCUCAUGAGAACAGAUCGGAAGUUGAGAGUAAAUAACUGAAAACCAAAAUAUUAAGCAGUAAAAUUGGAUUCGUGCUCUGCAAAUACUGCUCUAUUUUUUAUUUUUGUUGAUUUUCGUUUUCAAAUCUGAGUGUUGCUUUGGUGGCCGCUUCGAAUAUACUGGGAAUGUCGAAAUGUUUGAGUUUUAUUUUUCAAGGCUAAAUCGAGAGCUAAGAAGGCUGCUCGUUGCUGCGGGUUGCAACUUUGUUGGACUCCUAGUUCAUUUCUUUGCUUUCCCAAGUUAGCCUUCAUUCAGGAGUGGAGUACUUCUGCUCUCUUCAAGUUAGGUACAUCUUUUGAAUCUUGAAAUUACUUUUGGAUACAUAAAUAUACUUGAUUUGGUUUGAUGUCUUACUUCAACAAGAUUUAUGAUUUGCAUAAACCGCACCACCAUCUCCAUAGGACAAAUAUAUUACCUGUGGCAUCAUUAUAUUGUGCGCAAAUCAACAAUGAGGUGUUAUACUUGCAUAAAUAAAUUGUUCCCAUCAAUGAAUCAGUUAGUUGAUUAACAACUGGAAGCAAUUAACAAACAGACUUGGUUGAAUUCACGAUACUGAGAUGUUAAUUGAGCAUUUGUAAGGAAGAAACAAUAAAAAAUUUCCUAGUUUCAUGAUUAUUUCUUUCAGUUGCUGUUUAUAAUAAUAUUUACCAUGGAUUAACUUGCUAAUUUUUUUUUUUAAAGUUUGAGGCUCAAAACUAUUGAAAACAGUAAGAGGGCGUAUGUAUUUUAGCAGGAUAUAUAUGAUAUUCGUUAGCUGCUAUUUCUUACUGACUCUGUAUGGUAUUGAAGUUUAGCCAUGAAUGUUUUUCCCUUUGUUUCGUCACUUUAGGUAGUUAUUUGGCAUUUUUCUUCCUCAUGUUUAGAUUGUUGUUAUCCAAAUGUUUGUCACAAUAGGUGCUUAUACAUAUUCUGAAAGAUUUUAAUUUGUCUUAAUAGUUGCUUAUACAUGUUCUAAAAGAUUAUAGUAAUUUUAAUUCCUCAAAAAUACUCUUUUCAUCAAAUAAGUUCAAUCAAUAACUCAUGGCCCUCACUUAAUUAAUUUUAAUCCUUUAGAAAUUGAGGUGUGCCAUUUAGUUGAAUUUUCCAUGGCCCUCGCAAACUUGAAAGUGUGUAGUUGCUUUAGGCGCGUAAUUUAAAUUAAUUUCCUUAAACUCGGGUGUGCAUUUCAUGUGACCCAAAUCCAAAUCUCAACAACGUUAAAUAAAAUGUGUCAAGGACUACGGGUGCAUUUCAUGUGGCGUGGUUCAAGACAUGUUUUAUAUAACGUUGAAUCUUCCUAAAACUAAUUAAAAGCGGCUAAUAAGUUAAAAAUGUACCAUAGGCUAAAACAUGUAAUAAAUCAGAUAUUAGACCAAUUAUAAUAGUUUAAGCGACCGUGCUAGAACCACGGAAUCUGGGGGUGUCUAACACCUUCCCUCGGGUUAACAGAAUUCCUUAUUCAGAAUUUCUGGUUCGCAGACUUCAAAACGAAAGUCGAAUUUUCCUCGAUUUGGGAUUUUAAAAUAAACCGGUGACUUGGGACACCAGAAAGCAAACCAUCCCAAGUGGCGGCUCUGAAUAAAUAAAUAAAUAAUCUCAUUUCGAAUAAUAUCACUUAAAGUGGAAAAAGUCCCUUGUACUACCUUCGGGUAGUGUAAAAAGGAGGUAUGACAGCUCUGACGACUCUACUGGGGACAAGAACCUAGAAUUUCUGGUUCAGGGUUCAGAAUUCGAGCUUAGAAUAACUGUUAUACUUGACUUUUAUCUAUUAUCUGAUUUUUUUGUCGUGUUUGUAGCCUAANNNNNNNNNNNNNNNNNNNNNNNNNAAAAUCUUAGUUUGAUGAAUUUUUCUCCUAAGAUAAGAAAAGAGAACUAGUCUGAUGAACUUUCUCCUAGGAUCAAAAUAUUAGUCUGAUGAAUUUUUCUCCUAAGAUAGAAGACCUAGUCUGAUGAAUUUUCUCCUAGGAUCAAAAUCUUAGUCUGAUGAAUUUUUCUCCUAAGAUAGAAGACCUAGUCUUAUGAACUUUCUCCUAGGAUCAAAAUAUUAGUCUGAUGAAUUUUUAUCCUAAGAUAAGAAAAGAGACCUAGUCUGAUGAACUUUCUCCUACGAUAAAAAUCUUAGUCUGAUGAAUCUUUCUCCUAAGAUAGAAGACCUAGUCUAAUGAUCUUCUCCUAGGAUCAAAAUCUUAGUCUGAUGAAUUUUUCUCCUAAGAUAGAAGACUUAGUCUGAUGAACUUUCUCCUACGAUCAAAAUCUUAGUCUGAUGAAUUUUUAUCCUAAGAUAGAAGACCUAGUCUGAUGAAUUUUCUCCUAGGAUCAAAAACAUAGUCUGAUGAAUUUUUCUCCUAAGAUAAGAAAAGAGACCUAGUCUGAUGAACUUUCUCCUAGGAUCAAAAUCUUAGUCUGAUAAAUCUUUCUCCUAAGAUAAGAAAACCUAGUCUGAUGAAUUUUUGCCUAGGAUAAUAAUUUUUUUUUAAAAAAAGAGGAUGUCUCGAUUAAAAAAAAGGUGUUGGGGUAAUUUGUUUAAAAGAAUGAUUUUAUCCAAAAAAAUGAAAAAAUGAUGAUUUUUGUAACAAAAAGAAAAGAAAAAGGAAAAAAAAUCCUUCUUGGUUCAUUUUAGCAUAGGUACACAAGUCAGUAGUCCCAUUUUUCCAACAUAGGGUCUCCACUUCCUAGUUGAUUUUAUUUUAGACAUAGAGUCUCUACUCCCUAGUCUUCUUUUUCAAUAUAGGGUCUCACUCCCUAGUUGAUGCCAGCAUAACCUAGUAAUAUUUUCCAACAUAGGGUCUCCACUCCAUACUUGAUUUUAUUUUAGGCAUAGGGUUUCCACUCCUUAGUCUGUUUUUGUAACAUAGGAUCUCCACUCCGUAGUUGAUUUUAUUUUAGGCAUAGGGUCUCCACUCCCUAGUCUUAUUUUUCCAACAUAGGGUCUCCACUCCCUAGUUGAUUUUAUUUUUAGACAUAGGGUCUUCACUCCCUAGUCUUUGUUUUCUUAGGGUAUACCAACCCCGACUUUUAAUUGCUUUCAAUAAAAAAAAGUUUAGAUUUUUGUUACAAUAACUCACGAAAUUUUCCUAGUGAAAACUGGGGCAGAAAAUUUCAUUCUUUUGUUUGCUUUGGUACCUGAACAGGUUUUUACCACGAGACACAAGGUUUGAGAUGACCUAAACAAUGAGUCUUAAUCCAAAAAAGAAAAAAAAGAAGAAAAAGAAAAGAAGUGAACUCAAAGUGUAGAAGCGGAGAAAAGAUGUAGACUGCUCAAAACGUGUUUGAAGUCACAAGCUUUGCACGUCCCGCCUUGAUCCAAGAAGUUGGAAAAGGAGAGAACCAGUACCUGCAGCUAACAAGAAUCAAGAUUCAGAUCUGAGUCCACAUGAAGAACUAACCAAAACUCAAGACCAAGCUUCAGAAGACUCAUAGAUAGGAAUCUUGUACCUCGUAGUUAAUAGGCUUAGCUAGUUUAGCGUUUGUUUUUCAUUUUAAUGUAAUAAGGAGAUCAGCAAGUAGAAAUAGCAGAAACAUCAGUGAAAUCACAGCUUCUCGUAGUCCCAGCUACCAAAACUUCCAGAACAACACUGACUUGAUUCCUCUAUAGCCAAGGAUAUGUAGGCAACCUCCGAAGCAAGGUUCGGUCAGGCUCUUUCCAAAAGAUGCUUCUCAUGGAGUUUCCAAACGGGCAAAAAUCGCUCGUAGUUGCUCAUUUUAUCUUUGCCCGAAAACCCUUCGUGUUUCCGAGCAAAGAGGGGCAGCUGUGAGCACGUGAUUUUUGCCCUAUAUGAAUAACUCCUACAGAAUCCCAAGGAAAUAGAUUUUUUCUAAUUAUUUACCAUUUUAUAGGAUUUUGUAGGAUUUUUAUUAAUUGUUUGCAUUUUGUGCACGUUUAAUUUUUAUUUUUAUCAUAAAAAAAAUACCAAAAAUAUCAUGCAUUGCAUUUAGGAUUUGUUUAGAUUGUUAGAAUUAAUCAGUAAUUAUUUCCUUUAUAAAAAAUUAAAAAUCACAAAAAAUAGCUCAUUUUUACAUUUUUGUCUUUUAAUUUUGGUUUAUUGAUUUUCCACUUUUAAUAUAGAUUUAAGUGAGGUUUAUAAUUUUUAUAUAGUUAAUUAGUUUAAUUUCAUAUUUUUUGAUAAUCUAGAAUUUUAAUUUUAGGAUUUUUAAUUAAAGAAGAAGAAAAAGAAAACAAAGGAAAAGGAAUGAAAGAGGGGUAAUAUGAAUUAGGCUAAUUCUUGUACCUAAAUCAGGCCCAAAUCCCACCCUAAAAACUACCCAAACCCGUCCAAACCGCCCAGGCCCAAAACUCGACUCGACGCGCCUGACCCAACCUCCCCCUUUUAAAUUAAAAACCUAGCUAAGACCAAGAGGAAGGAUCGGUUCCUUAGACCUCUUGAGAAGCGAAACGACGCUCCCUUCUUCUCCUUCUAUAGAAAUCCAAGCAAAAUCAUACCUUUCCUCUCCAAAAUUGCACACAAAUAGACCCCUCUUCUUUUUUUCUUCAUUUUCAUUUUUUCGAAAACACACACAGAGAAAAUCAGAACCCCGAUGUUUCUGCGCAAUUUGCCAGCGCCAAAACAAAAAAAAAGUAAUAACUCUUUCUUCUCCAACCAUCUUGCUCAUGAGAUCAGAUCGGAAGUUGAGAGUAAAUAACUGAAAACCAAAAUAUUCAGCAAUAAAAUUGAAUUCGUGCUCUGCAAAUACUGCUCUAUUUUUUUUUUUGUUGAUUUUCGUUUUCAAAUCAGAGUGUUGCUUUGGCGGCCACUUCAAAUAUACUGGGAAUGUCGAAAUAUUUGAGUUGGUUUUUUUUCAAGGCUAAAUCGAGAGCUAAGAAGGCUGCUCGUUGUUGCGGGUUGCAACUUUGCUGGACUCCUAGUUAAUUUCUUUGCUUUUCCAAGUUAGCCUUCAUUCAGGAGUUGGGUACUUCUGCUCUCUUCAAGUGAGGUACAUCUUUUGAAUCUUGAAAUUACAUUUGGAUAUAUAAAUAUACUUGAUCUGGUUUGAUGUCUUACUUCAACAAGAUUUAUGAUUUGCUUAAACUGCACCACCAUCUCCAUUGGACAAAUAUAUUAUUUAUGGCAUCAUUAUAUUGUGUGCAAAUCAACAAUGAGGUGUUAUACUUGCAUAAAUAAAUUUUUCCCAUCAAUGAAUCAGUUAGUUGAUUAACAACUGGAAGCAAUUAACAAACAGACUUGGUUGAAUUCACGAUACUGAGAUGUUAAUUGAGCGUUUGUAAGGAAGAAACAAUAAAAAAAUUCCUAGUUUCAUGAUUAUUUCUUUCAGUUGUUGUUUAUAAUAAUAUUUACCAUGGAUUAACUUGCUAAAAAAAAAUUUUAAAAGUUUGAAGCUCAAAACUAUUGAAAACAGUAAGAGGGCGUAUGUAUUUUAGCAGGAUAUAUAUGAUAUUCGUUAGCUGCUAUUUCUUGCUGACUCUAUAUGGUAUUGAAGUUUAGCCAUGAAUGUUUUUCCCUUUGUUUCGUUACUUUAGGUAGUUAUUUGGCAUUUUGCUUCCUCAUGUUUAGAUUGUUGUUAUCCAAAUGUUUGUCAUAAUAGGUGCUUAUACAUAUUCUGGAUGAUUUUAAUUUGUCUUAAUAGUUGCUUAUACAUGUUCUGAAAGAUUAUAGUAAUUUUAAUUCCUCAAAAUACUCUUUUCAUCAAAUAAGUUCAAUCAAUAACCCAUGGUCCUCACUUAAUUAAUUUUAAUCCUUUAGAAAUCGAGGUGUGCCAUUUAGUUGAAUUUUCCAUGGCCCUCGCAAACUUGAAAGUGCGUAGUAGCUUUAGGCGCAUAAUUUAAAUUACCUUAAACUCGGGUGUGCAUUUCAUGUGACCCAAAUCGAAAUCUCAACAACGUUAAAUAAAAUGUGUCAAGGACUGCGGGUGCAUUUCAUGUGGCGUGGCUCAAGACAUGUUUUAGAUAACGUUGAAUCUUCCUAAAACUAAUUAAAAGCGGAUAAUAAGUUAAAAAUAUACCAUAGGCUAAAACAUGUAAUAAAUCAGAUAAUAGACCAAUUAUAAUAGUUUAAGCGACCGUGCUAGAACCACGAAAUCCAAGGGUGCCUAACACCUUCCCUCGGGUUAGCAGAAUUCCUUAUUCAGAAUUUCUAGUUCGCAGACUUUAAAAGGAAAGUUGAAUUUUCCUCGAUUUGGGAUUUAAAAAUAAACCGGUGACUUGGGAUACCAUAAAACAAACCAUCCCAAGUGGAGACUCUGAAUAAAAUAAAUAAAUAAUCUCAUUUUGAAUAAUGUCACUUAAAGUGGAAAAACUCCCUUCUACUACCUUCAGGUAGUGUAAAAAGGAGGUGUGACACGUGGUAUUAAUGAUGCAGGGUAGGGUAUGUGGACCCAAUGUUGAUGGGCUUUGGGGGUUGAUUCUAGAGGAGGCCCAUAGUUCGCGAUAUUCUAUUUAUCUGGGUGUCGCGAAGAUGUACCAGGAUUUGAGAUAGCACUAUUGGUGGAGGCGGAUGAAGAAGGAUAUAGUUGGGUUUGUAGCUCGGUGCCUCAAUUGUCAGCAGGUAAAGUAUGAGCACCAGAGAUCGGGUGGGUUGCUUCAGUAGAUAGAGAUUCCGGAGUGGAAUUGGGAGCGGAUCACCGUGGACUUCGUAGUUGGACUUCCACGGACUUUGAGGAAGUUCGAUGCCAUUUAGGUGAUUGUGGAUAGGCUGACCAAGUCCGCGCACUUCAUUCCUUUGUGUACUACCUAUUCUUCGGAGCGGCUGAUAGAGAUUUAUAUCCGGGAGUAUGUUCGUCUGCAUGGUAUUCCAGUUUCCAUCAUUUUAGGCUUAGGUAAACAGUUCACAUCCUGGUUCUGGAGGGCCGUACAACAUGAGUUGGGUACUCGAGUGGAGUUGAGCACAUCAUUUCACCCUUAGACGGACGGACAAUCCGAGCGCACUAUUCAGAUCCUUGAGGAUAUGCUCCGUUCAUGUGUGAUGGAGUUUGGAGGUUCUUGGGAUCAGUUCCUGCCAAUAGCAGAGUUUGCCUACAACAACAGUUAUUAGUUUAGCAUUCAGAUGGCAUCGUAUGAGGCUUUGUAUGGUAGGCGGUAUAGUUCCCCGAUGGGUUGGUUCGAGCCGGGCUAGGCUAGAUUGUUGGGCACAUACUUGGUUUAGGAUGCCUUGGAGAAGGUUAAGGGCUAGAUUGUUGGGCACAUACUUGGUUUAGGAUGCCUUGGAGAAGGUUAAGGUGAUUCAGGAUAGGCUCCAUACAAACCAGUCCAAACAGAAGAGCUAUGCGAAUCGAAAGGUUCGUGAUGUUUCCUAUAUGGUUGGAGAGCGGGUCUUGCUUCGGGUUUUGCCUAUGAAGGGCAUUAUGAGAUUUGGGAAGAACGGUAAAUUAAGUCCGAGGUUUAUUGGUCCUUUUGAGAUAUUGCGACGUGUUGGGGAGGUUGCUUAUGAGGUUGCCUUACCUCCCAGCUUGGCAAAAGUUCAUCUGGUAUUUCAUGUUUUGAUGCUCCGGAAGUGUCACGGUGAUCCGUCACACGUGUUGGAUUUUAGUUCAGUCUAGUUGGACAAAGAUCUAUCUUAUGUUGAGGAGCCAGUGGUGAUAUUGGACAGGCAGGUUCGAAAGCUGUGGUCAAAGAACAUUGCAUCAGUGAAGGUUCAGUGGCGGGUUCAGUUGGUCGAAGAGGCGACUUGGGAGGCCGAGCAGGAUAUGCCCAGUCGUUACCCUCAUCUUUUCACUACUUUAGGUAUGUCUCUAUGCUCGUUCAAGGACGAACAAAUAUUUUAAGAGGGGGAGGAUGUAAUGACCUGGCCGGUCAUUUUAAGAAUUAAUGCACUGAUACCCUAUUAACUGCUUUCCCCGUGUUUGUUUCUGCUAUUAUGAUUUGCCGGGAUGAUUCACUGUGAUUUUCAGAGUGUUUUAGGACACUUAGUCCCUCAAUGAAAGCUUAAUCUUUAGAAUUUGCUCUGUAGUCGGAGCAGUGUGAAGACAACAUCGAAAUGGAAUUUCCGUCGAUUCCGUUAGCUCUAUUGGGUGAUUUCGGGCUUAGGGGCGUGUUUAGAUUGUGUUUUGGAGGUUCGUAGCUUAGUUAGGCUUGAAAUGCCGAAAGUUGAAUUUUUAAAGUGUCCGGAUCAAUAAUGAAAUUUUGAUAUCGGGGUCGGAAUCCAAUUCCAAAAUUUGGAAUAGCUCCGUAGUGUUGAAUGUGACUUGUGUACAAAGUUUGGAGUCAAUCGGACUUGGUUUGGUUGGUUUGGGAAUUAGUUGUAGGAUUCUUGAAAUUUCAAGUUCCUUAGGUUUGGAUUGGAGGGUGAUUCGUGGUUUUAGCAUUGUUUGAUGUGAUUUGGGGGUUGGACUAAAUUCAUAUGAUGUUUUAGGAUUGUUUGGUAUGUUUAGUUGAGGUCCCAAGGGCCUCGGGUGUGUUUCAGAUGCUCAACGGACCAUUAAUGGACUUGGAGAAGGAUCAGAUUUUUCUUGUUUUUCUGUUGCAGACUUCCCUUCAUCGCGAUCGCGUGAGGAGGCUCGCGAUUGCGAAGGCUUAGAUGAGGCAGAGUGAAUUUUGUUCUACGUGAUCGCAGGAAAAGGAAUGUGAAUGUGUAGUAUUGGUAGAAGGUUGAAUCACGAACGUGUGGGCUAUGCCAUGUUCGCGAAGAGGAAGAAGUGAGGCAGCUGUGGAGUGGGAGUUUCUCUUCGCGAUCGCGUGAGGUCAACCACGAUUGCGUAGACCUAAGCAGUGCAAGCAUCGCAUUUGCAUGGAGAGUAUAGCGUUCGCGUAGGGUAAAUCUGGGAGCCAGCAAAGUUGCUCUUCGCAAUCGUGUGGGGGCUUCCGCGAUCGCGAUUAAGGUCGCGUCUGGGCAGAACAUAAAGUUCAAAAUCGAGGGUUUUGAGUUCAUAUCACAAAAUUGAAUUGGGAGCUCGGUAGGAGACGAAUUUUGGUAAGAUUUUCGAAGGAAGUUUGCGGGUAAUGAUUCUUAUCUCCUUUUUGCUUAUAACCCAUUAAUCUAAACAUGAAUUCAUCUUCUAAUUUCGGAUUUUGGGUGAGAAAUUGGGGGAAAAUUUGGAAAAGUUCUUAGGCCUAAUUUUGGGGUUUUGAUCAAGAUUUUGGUAUUGGAUUGGAGUAAUUUUUGUAUGGUUAAACUCGUGAGUGAAUGGGGGUUCAUAAUCCGUAACUUUUACCCGAUUUCGAGGCGUGGGCCCAAGGAGGAUUUUUGGGUGUUUUUCUAUUUUCUUGCCUUAGCUUCGAUUUCAUUAGAUAAUGUUUACCGUGAAAAUGGUAAUAACAAUUAAAUUUGUUGAUGAGACUCUAAAAAUAUGUGAUCUAUUUUUAUGCUAGUUGUUUAGAGCAGUGGAUGCUAGAUAUGUGAAGAUAAAGGUGAAAUGCGAGCUAAAACAACAUUACAAUCAAACCAAUGAGUUAGCUAUCCGGGCCUCAAGCUAACCGAUGAAGGGCCUUGAGGUCUAUGCCUGGGCUCGGGCUUGAGCGGUCGGGGGUAACCGGGAAGGGACUAAUAGUUAGAAUAUAAUUAAAGGAGGCUUUUUACGCCGAUAUCAAGCAAUAAAUAAAGAAUGGGUACGAAAGCAAUAAAUGAAAGUGGUAGUCUCGAGCGGGUGAGUUAGAGAGAAAAGAGAGAGAGUUGUUAUUUAUAUUGUAUAGAAUAGUUAGAGCAACAGCAGCCCUUUACAAGGUGGUGAGGAUCCCCUUUAUAUAGGAGGAGAAAUACAACAUAGUACAGAAUGCAUUAAUUGUAAAGAUACGGAUAUGGACGGCUAGACAUGAUACCAUACUCUGCCAGUGUUACCUGCUCGCCUUAGGAAUUCCCCAUCCUCGGCAUUGUCAUUAGGUCAAGCGUAAAUGAACAUCGAGGGAGAGAGCUCGACUGCAACCCCACAGCCUCGAGAUCUCGAUAUAACUUCUCGAAGCCCCUUAAUGAUGAGAAAUUGGACCCUCCGAUUUUACUGUAUACAGAUAAAUUAGUUGUUUGUAGUUGUAUUUACGUUAUGAUAAUAAAUUUGAUUAGAUUUGGGCCACCCGGAGUUGGAUACUAGUGGCAAGAGCGUGGUUUCGGAUUGAUUUUGAGCCGGUUUGAGGUAAGUGACUUGCUUAACCUUGUGUGAUGGAAACUCCCCUUAGGAUUUUGGUGUUGUUUGUUAUAUGAGUGUCGUGUACGUGAGGUGACGAGUGCGUACACAUGCAAAUUUUUGAAAACCCCUGUUUUAUUAAGUAAAUAUUUGUGUUUUUUCUUGUAAUUGAGCAUUUCUUGUACUUGAAGCCUCUUGUUUAGGUUAGGAAAAGCAUGCCUAUGUGUUCUAGUUGUUUUACCGUCUUUAACUGCUUACUUGUAUCAUGUACAUCAUGUUUAGUGUAGAAUUCCUAUUUAUUUACGAAUAGUACUGUAGUUUCCUUCUUGCUACUGUUGUUUGUUUACUUUGGGACUACGGGACGAUAUCACGGGAGAUCCCCCUGCAUGUUUACUUUGGGACUACGGAUCAGUAUUCCGAGAGAUCCCCCUGCACAUUUAUAUUUGAGACUACGGGACGACACCCAGGAGAUUCACCUGUACUGGAUAUUUACUUUGGGACAACAGAUUGGUAUUCUGGGAGAUCCUCUGCACAUUAACGUUUGGGACUACGGGACGAUUUCCCGUGAGAUACCCUGUUGCUAUUUCUCUGUACUGAGUUACAUUCUCCCUGUGAUUUUAUUCUCUUUCAACUGUUAGUGCUUUAAUUAUACUGUUACAUUUUAUACUGUCUUACCUCGUUUUAUGUUUAUAACCAGUAGGGCCCUGACCUUCCUCGUCACUACUCGACCGAGGUUAGGCUUGGCACUUACUGGGUACCUCUGUGGUGUACUCAUUCCCUUUGCAGCACAUGUUUUUCAUGUGAAUAUCCAGGUUCUUUGGCCCAACCAUAUUAUCGGUGAGGAGAGGCGACCUUCAGAGACUUUGAGGUAUAUCUGUCGCGCCCGCAGACCGAGGAGUCCCUCUCUAUUCUCCCCUCUAGCUUUAGCUCUCCUGUAUUUACUUUUGUUUUGACAUUCUGGAGUUAGAACACUUUGUAGUUAUUCUAUAGCUUGUGAUUUCAUGAGAUUCUAGGUUUUGGGAUUGUUGUUGUUGGUCGAGAGUGUUAUUAUGGUAUAUGCAGAGCGGCAUUUUAAACUUUUUUUCUUAUAUUUCCCCGUAAAUUACUAGUUUUGUAUCUUUAUUUCCUUUUUUCGCAAAUUGUUAGGCUUACCUAGUCAUAGAGACUAGGUGCCGUCACGACAGUUCAUGGAGGGAGAACUUGGGUCGUGACACCUGCAUUAUCACUUAUCCUUGAUAGAAUGUACUUACAAUAAUAGCUACAAGUCAAUUAUAGGCAUGCCUCCUUAUGAUGAUAUAUAUGGGAGAAAAUGUAGAACUCCUCUUUGUUGGAAAGAGGCUGGUGAAAGGAAAUUAGUGGUUCUUAAGAUUGUGCAACAAACUGAAGAUAGGGUAAAAAUCAUUAAGGAUCGCUUAAAAUUACUUCAAAUAGACAAAAGUCUUAUGCUGAUCUUAAGAGGCGUGAAAUUGAGUAUAAAGCGGGUGAUAAGGUAUUUUUAAAGGUUUCUCUAUGGAAGAAGAAUAUGAGAUUUGUCAAAAAGGUAAGCUUAGUCCUCGAUUUAUUGGAUCUUAUGAAGUGCUUGAGAGAGUUGGCCCAGUUGCUUAUAAACUAGAUCUUCCACCUGAGUUAGACAAGAUCCAUAAUGUCUUGCAUGUUUCUAUGCUUAGAAGAUACCGCUCAGAUCCAUCGCAUGUUCUUCUGAUUGAAUCUAUUGAAAUCAGUUAUGAUUUGAUAAAUAAAUAAGAACCAAUCCAAAUCUUAGCACAUGAUAUAAAAGAACUUAGAAAAAAGAGAAUCCCCUUAGUGAAGGUCCUUUGGAGAAAUCAUUCUGGCAAAGACUCUACUUGGGUGCGAGAAGAGGAUAUACAAGUUCGAUAUCUACAUUUAUUUCGAGACUGGUAUAAGGUAAAUUUGUGGCCGAAAUUUAUUUAAGGGGGUGAGAUUUGUAACGUCCCAAAGUUAUGACUAAUAUUUGCAUUCUUGAUUGAGCAUCAUUAUAAUGAGGAUAGAUUUUACUUUGCACUUCCUAAAUGUGAAUUUGAUUAUAUUUGAAAAUUGCUUACUUUAGNNNNNNNNNNNNNNNNNNNNNNNNNAUAUAUUACUUUUGUGACUUGAUUUUCCAUAACCUCCUCUCAUAUUUCAUUCCUUCAUGCCAAAUAAAAUUCCUUCCCCCUCUCCUUCUUAUCACAUGAAAUACUACAUGAAAACCAUCAGAAAUUCUCACUAAACCAACCAGCCAAACUAGUUCUAGGUGAAGCUCAGUGUGUAUCUCCUUAUGUGAGUUCUAUGUGCGGAUCAGAUUGUACGCCGCCACAGAUAUGUUGAUUGAAUCAGGUUGCACGUUGUAAUGGUAUGAUGUUGAGUACAGUUUUCUAUAUUCUAGUUUCUGUGUGUUUUGUUUCCCAUUUUCUGAGGAAAGUUUAUAUUAGCUACGCGAGUUGAGUAGUUCUUUCCAGAGUUCGAUUUCCUUAUGUAUCACGUUCAAGUUUGUGGCCUAUCGGCACAUUUUGGCAUCAUAUGAGACUUUUGGUCAUGUCUGGGGCGGCUUAUUACCUGAGUAAUUCGUACUGGGUGAGAUGAGAUUAUUGGAUCUAGGAUCAGUGCGAUCGGAUUAUAUGAAGUAUAUUAAAGGGCAAAUACCAUUAUUUGGUUUAGAAUGAGGUAAUGAUUCUUGUCAGGAGUAUAGACUCAACGAUUUGUUGACUCAGCAGCUGGUUAUGAAUUUCUACACAUCUCUUCUGUCAUGGUGGUAUUGCAAAAGUUGGAACAAGAUUUAUAUAUGUCAUAAGGUGCAUUGUGAGCAUCAGAUUCGAGAGAUGUCGGUUAUUAUAAUCAGAGAAUGUUAUUAUGGUCCGUGAAUGAUGUGGUGAAUGGUGAAAAUUCAGCAAAGUUAUGCAAUCUUAUAUUGGUGCAUUGUGUAGUGAUUGAUACGGUAUUCGUAGGUUAGAAGCAAACCUGGCAGAGAAUUCUGGAUGUUGGAACUGGGCUCUAAGGCUUAUUUGCCUCAAUGAAUGAGGAUAUCUUCGGAUUUGGUCGAGCUAAUGUGCUCAAUUGAGUUGUGCUACCACAGGUAGGUGCACGAGGUGUUAAACAGUAAUUUCAGACUACUCUAGCGCAAAUCUCAGCACGUUCGAGGAGGAACGUAUGUUUAAGUGGGAGAGAAUGUAACGACCCAACCGGUCCUUUUGAGCUCUAGCGCGUCGUUCGGCAAUUCGAGGCCAUGAGCAGCUUCACUUAAGGUAUUAUGACUUGUACGCAUGGUCAGAAUUGAAUGUCGGGAAGUUUGGAAUUGAUUUGGAAAGAAAAUUCCCAUUUCGCAAGCUUUAAGUUGAAAGAAUUGAGUAAGGUUUGAUUUAAAAGUAAACGACCUCAAAAUCGGGAUUUGAAGGUCCCAACAGGUUCGUAUGAUGAUAUUGGACUUGGAUGUAUGUCUGGAUCGGGUUUUGGAUGACCCGGGAGCGUUUCGACGCCUAUUGUGGAAGUUAGCAUUUUUGGAAGAAUUUAAUAAAUGUGAGUUGAAGCGCAUUUCAGUGUUAUGGAUGUCCAUUUGAGAUUCCGAGUCUAGGAAUAGCUCCGUAUGGUGAUUCUUGUAUUGGGAGCAUGAUAAAGUGGAUUCAGAGGUCUGUAGGUCAUUUUGGAGUCGUUUGGCUAAAGUUAGAAAUUUGAAAGUUUUUGAGAAGUUUGACCGGAAGUGGACUUUUUGAUAUCGGGGUCAGAUUCUAAUUUUGAAAGUUGGAGUAGGUCCGUAAUGUCGAAUAUGACCUGUGUACAAAAUUUGAGGUCAAUCAAACGUAAUUUGAUGAGUUUCAGUAUCAAAAGUAGAAAUUGAAGUUUCAAGUUCUUUAAGCUUGGAUUGGAGAGCGAUUCAUGGUUUAAGCGUUGUUUGAUAUGAUUUGAGGCAUCGAGCAGUUCCAUGUUAUGUUAUGGGACUGGUUGAUGUGAUUGGACGGGGUUCCGGCGUCCUUAGGUGGAUCCCAGGUGGUUAACGGAUUGAAAAUGGAAUUUGAGGAAGGGCUGAAGCAGCUGGGCUUUUGGCGUAACCACACCUGCGUGAAGAGCACCGCAGGUAUGGGCCCGCAGGAGUGGGAGGGGACUCGUAUAAGCAAUAUUUUUGGAUGGGGAGGCGUGGACCGUAGAAGAAGGACCGCACCUGCGUGUGUGGAGCUGCAGAUUCGGAAUGGAGGGGCUUGGCGAAAAAUUGCAGAAACAGUAUUGGGGCCGCACCUGCGGAACCGCAGAAGCGGUCAAGUGACCGCAGGUGUGAAAAGGCUGGAGACAGUGACGUUUCUUUAAAAUGGGGGUUUGGCUCAUUUCAACCCCUUUUCCUCUAUGGGAGCCGGUUUUGGAGCAACUUGGUAGUGUCAUUUUCACCACCAAGCAUGAGGUAAGUGGUUUAUAUUAGUUUGAGUUCAGUACAUCGAUUAUGUAUAUGUUUUAUCAUGAAAAUUAGUAGAAACUUGGGGUUUGAUGGAAAAACCUAGAAAACUGAUAUUCUUGGAUUUUGACCACGAUUUUGGACAUGAAAUUGAGAGAAAAUUAUAUAUUUGAGUUUGUGAGGUUUUGGGCAAACUUUAUCUUCGAAAUUUUUUGAAAUCUGGGCAUGUGAGCCCGAGGGCGAUUUUGUCAACUUCUCGAUCGGGGUUAGAAAUUGUUAUAAAUUGGAUUAUUAUGAGUAAUUGAGCAUAUAUUAAUGGGUUUGCAUAAUCAUUGGCUAGUUUUGGAGUGUUGUGCAUCGAUUUGGGUCUUCGAAAGGGCGUGGAAUGCCGGUCAUAGAUUUUCGGAGAGAGGUGAAUCUCCUUUAUAACCUUGUAAGAGGGAAUUGUCCACAUAGGUGAAUUAAUUGUAUAUGUGGUUCUAUUUGUGGGGGCUACGUAUGCACGAGGUGACGAGAGUCUGUACGUAGCUACUAUUAUGCUUAAGUCCGGGUAGUCUAGGACCCGAAAGCAUGCUAUACUUGAAAUAUUUGUAACCUUAUUGAUAAUUUAAAUUGCUUAAAUCAUGUCGAAUUGAUAAAUGAAUUUCAAAAGAAAUUAAACAUCAUUUUUCUUGACCAUUAAAGAGAAGUUGCCAUUUCUUUGGGUAAUUGUUUCCCUGAUGAAUUCUUGAUUGACUAUUUGAUGAGUUUAUUUAUUUGACCGCAUCGCACGUACGUGUCACGAACCCAGUUUGCCCUCCUUGAACUAUCGUGACGACACCUAGUCUCUACGACAAGGUAAGCCUAACAAUGUGGAAAAGGAACAUUUUUGGAAAGAAAAUAAUUGAAAAUCGAGCUAACAAAAUGAAACAGUGUUUAAGAUGCCUCCCGGCGUAUAACAAUACAAGAAUCUCAACCUAGCACUCCCAAAAUACGGAACCCCAUGAAUCACAAGCUAAAAGUUUACAUAAAAAGCUCUAACUCCAGAAAUGUCUAUCAACAAGGAAAAUACAGUAGGGCUAUACUAGUACUGAGAAUAGAAAGGGACUCUUCAGUCUGCGGAUGCGGCAGAUAUACCUCGAAGUCUCUACAAAAGCGUCUCGCCUCAAUGAUGAUAAGACUAAGUGGAAGUACCUAGAUCUGCACAUGAAAAACAUGUGUAGAAAGGGCAUGAGUACACCACAACGGUACUCAGUAAGUGCCAAGCCUAACCUCGGUAGGGAGUGAUGAGGAAAGCCAGGGUCCUACAGAAAUUAAAUGAAAUAUAAGGUGUGAUAGUAUAGAAUAAGGUAGAAAAAUUAAGUGCAACAGUAAGAAAUAACAUAGAAUAGAAAGAACAACAAUGACUAUAACAGAGACAAAAUAAUCACGGAAAGAUUUACAGCUCAACACAGAGAUAACAUCCGGGGAUCUCUCAGUAUCCCGAAGAUCUCUUAGUAUCCUCAGUAUGUGUUCCAGGGAUCUCUCAGUAUCCCGAGGAUCUCUUAGUAUCCUCAAUAUGUAUGCUUGAGAUCUCUUGGUAUCCCAAAGAUCUCUUAGUAUCCUCAAUAUGUGUUGGGGAUCUCUUUGUAUCCCAAGGAUCUCUUAGUAUCCUCAAUAUGUGUUGGGGAUCUCUUGGUAUCCCGCACUAUAGUCCAAAAUUAUAUAUAUGUGUGGGGGAUCUCCCGUGAUACCGUCCCGUAGUCCUAUAGUAAACACGCAGCAACAACACGAAGAAUACUCAAAUAAAUUCAAUUUCACACACCAAGGUAAAAUAGGUAUUUCUAACCUAACAUGCUUCACAUAAUCCAAAUAAGGCAGGUUGAGUAAAUAAAACAAUUAAGGCAAUUAGACAUGAUUCCCUAAGCUAGCAGCAGGCUUGAUUGCAAGUAGAAUAAACAGGAAGGGAAAACACAAUUAAAGAUACUUAAUGAAAACAUGUUUUUCAACAAUUAGCACGAGUACGUACUUGUCACCUCACAUACAAGGCAUUUCAAAUAUCAACAAUACCAAAUCCUAAGGGGAGUUUCCCCCACACAAGGUUAGGCAAGCCACUUACCGCGAACCGGCUCAAAAUCAGCCCGAAACCAUAUUCUUGCCACGAGUACUCGACUCCAAAUGGCUCAAAUCUAUUCAAUUAAAUUGCAUAAUGUAAAUAUAACCUCAAGUAACUAAUUCCACAAAUAAAUUCUAAGCUAAUAUACGAAAUUAGGUAAAAUGACCAAAAUGCCCCUCGGGCCCACAUCUCGGAAUCAGGUAAAAUUUACAUUUUCAGAAACCUCUUACUCUCACGAGUGUAUCCAUACCAAAAUUAUCCAAGUCCAAUGUCAAAUUCCCAAUCAAAACUCGAAAUUUAGGUCUAAGAACUCUCUCCAAAUUUCCCCCCAAUUUUCAUCCCAAAUCCAAAAUUAAAUGACAAAACUAAGAUUAUAUUAUAGGAAUACAGCUAGAAAGGGAUUAGGAAUCGUUAUCCACUGAUUUCCUCUUCAAAAUCCUCCCAAAAUCGCCCUCUCCCGAGUUUCAAAUCAAUUUUCUAACUUUUAAAACUAAACCCUCGGAAUUCUUAUUUUCUGCCCAGUAAAACCGCAUCUGCAGUCAAAAUUCCCGGUUCUGUGCUACCGCUUUUGUGGUUGAGGAAACCGCUUCUACGGUUUCACUAAACCUCCAUCUCCGCACUUGCGUCCCAGAUUCCGCAUUUGCGGUCCCGCAGGUGCGUUAACCCUUCCGCUUCUGCGGUCUCUACUGCCUUCACUUGUGGACGCAUCUGCGGAUCUACGCCCACUUCUGUGAGUCCGCACCUAUGGUCCCCUAGCCGCAGGUGCAGUUAUGAUAGCAAUGGAAAAGCUUCAGCUGCCAAAACUCAAAAAAACCCCGUUAACCAUCCGAAACCACCCCGAGGCCCCCGGGACCUGAACAAAAAGCAUGAACAAGUCAUAUACCACUAUCCAAACUUAUACAAAUCUUCAAAACACUCAAACAACAUCAAAUCGACCAAUUAACCAUGUAUUCAGGCCUAAGAACUUCAAAAACUCUCAAAUUACGCUUUCGAUCAAAAAGUCUAUCAAACCUCGUCCGAAUGACCUGAAAUUUUGCACACACGUCACAUUUAACACUACGGAGCUACUCUAACAUCCGAAAUUCCAUUCCGACCCUUAGAUCAAAAUCUCACUAUCGAACCGAAAACUUCCAAAAUUCAACUUUUGGCAUUACAAGCCUAAAUUAGUUACGAAUUUCCAAUACACAAUCUAAACACGCCCGUAAGCCCGAAAUCACCCAACGGAGCUAAUGGAACCAACANNNNNNNNNNNNNNNNNNNNNNNNNGCAGAAACAAACACGGGGAAAGCAGUUAAUAGGGGAUCGAGGCGUAAAUUCUUAAAACGACCGGCCGAGUAGUUACAUCCUCCUACAUUUAAACAUUCGUUCGUCCUCGAACGAGCAUAGAGACAUACCUGAAGUAGUGAAAAGAUGAGGGUAACAGCUGCGCAUAUCCUACUUGGUCUCCCAGGUCGCCUCCUCGACUGGCUGACCUCGCCACUGAACCUUUACUGAUGCAAUGUUCUUUGACCUCAGCUUCCGAACCUGCAUGUCCAAUAUUGCCACCGGCUCUUCAACAUAAGAUAGAUCCUUGUCCAACUGGACUGAACUGAAAUCCAACACGUGUAACAAAUCGUCGUGAUACCUCCGGAGUAUCGAAACAUGAAAUACCAGAUGAACUCCUACCAAGCUGGGAGGUAAGGCAAGCUCAUAAGCAACCUCCCCAACGCGCCGCUAUAUCUCAAAAGGACCAAUAAUCCUCAGACUCAACUUCCCUUUCUUCCCAAAUCUCAUAACGCCCUUCAUAGGCGAAACCCGAAGCAGAACCCGCUCUGCAACCAUAUAGGAAACAUCACGAACCUUUCGGUCCGCGUAACUCUUCUGUCUGGACUGGGCUGUAUGGAGUCUAUCCUGAAUCACCUUAACCUUCUCCAAAGCCUCUUGAAUCAAGUUGUGACCAAUAAUCUAGCCUCACCCGGCUCAAACCAACCCACCGGGGAUCUACACUGCCUACCAUAUAAAGCCUCAUACGGUGCCAUCUGAAUGCUGGACUAAUAGUUAUUGUUGUAGGCAAACUCCGCCAAUGUCAAGAACUGAUCCCAAGACCCUCCAAACUCAACCACACACGCACGGAGCAUAUCCUCAUGAAUCUGAAUAGUGCGCUCAGACUAUCCAUCCGUUUGAAGGUGAAAUGAUGUACUCAACUCUACCCAAGUACCCAACUCAUGUUGUACGGCCCUCCAGAACCGUGAUGUGAACUGAAUACCUUUGUCUGAAAUGACGGAAACUGGAAUACCAUGCAGACGGACAAUCUCCCGGAUAUAAAUCUCCGCCAACUGCUCCGAAUAGUAAGUAGUACAUAUAGGAAUGAAGUGCGCGGACUUGGUCAGCCGAUCCACAAUCACCCAAAUGGCAUCGAACUUCUUCAAAGUCCGUGGGAGUCCAACUACGAAGUCCAUGGUGAUCCUCUCCCACUUCCACUCUGGAAUCUCUAUCUACUGAAGCAACCCACCCAGUCUCUGGUGCUCAUACUUCACUUUUUGACAAUUGAGGCACCGAGCUACAAACCUAACUAUAUCCUUCUUCAUCCGCCUCCACCAAUAGUGCUGCCUCAAAUCUUGGUACAUCUUCGCGGCACCCGGAUGAAUGGAAUACCGCAAACUAUGGGCCUCCUCUAGAAUCAACUCCUGAAGCCCAUCCACAUGGGGUACACAAAUCUGACCCUGCAUCCUCAAUACACAUCAUCUCCAAUAGUCACAUAUCUGUCAUCACCAUGCUAAACCUUAUCCUUGAGGACAAGCAAAUAGGGGUCAUCCAACUGAUGCUCCCUGAUACGGUCAAAUAAGGAAGACCGAGAAACUAUGCAGGCUAGAACCCGACUGGGCUCCGAAAUAUCCAAUCUCACAAACUAGCUAGCUAAGGCAUGAACAUUCACCGCCAUAGGCCUCUCCACUGCUGGUAAAUAAGCCAAACUUCCCAAACUCACUGCCCGACAACUCAAAGCAUUGGCCACCAUAUUGUCCUUGCCCGAGUGAUACAAAAUAGUGAUAUCAUAGUCCUUCAGCAGCUCUAACCACCUCCGCUGGCGCAAAUUAAGAUCCUUUUUCUUGAAAAAGUGCUACAAGAUCUGGUGAUUAGUAUAAAUUUCACAAGGAACACCGUACAAAUAAUGAUGCCAGAUCUUCAAGGUGUGAACAAUAGCAGCUAACUCAAGAUCAUGGACAGGAUAAUUCUUCUCAUAUACCUUCAACUGUUUAGAUGCGUAGCAAUCACCCUACCGUACUACAUCAAUACCGCUCCAAGGAGAAUCCUUGGGCAUCACAAUAGACAGUAUAAGAACUCGAACCAGUAGGCAAUAUCAAAACUGGGGCUGUAGUCAAAGCUGUCUUGAGCUUCUGAAAGUUCACCUCACACUCUUCCAUCCACUGGAAUGGAGCACCCUUCUAGGUCAGCCUGGUCAUAGGUGCUGCAAUAGAUGAAAAUCCCUCAACAAAUCGACGGUAAUAACCCGCCAAGCCAAGAAAAUUGCGGAUCUCUGUAGCUGAGGAUGGUCUGGGCCAACUCUGCAUUGCUUCCACUUUUUUUGGAUCCACUCGUAUACCCCCACUCGAUAUCACGUGACCCAAGAAGGCCACAGAAUCCAACCAAAAGUCACAUUUCGAGAACUUUGCAUAUAACUUCUUUUCCCUAAAUGUCUUAAGCACUGUCCUCAGGUAUUGCUCAUAAUCUUCCCGACUCCGGGAAUACACCAGAAUAUCAUCAAUAAAGACAAUGACAAACGAGUCAAGAUACGGCCAAAACACACUGUGCAUCAAAUGCAUGAAGGUUGUUGGGGCAUUGGUCAGCCCAAAUGACAUAACAAGGAACUCGUAAUGACCAUACCGGGUCCUGAAGGUAGUCUUCGGGAUGUAGGGCUCUGAAUUUUCAGCUGAUGGUAACCGAAAUGCAAGUUGAUCUUAGAAAACACUCAUGCACCCCGAAGCUGGUCAAACAAAUCAUCAAUACGAGGCAAAGGAUAUCGGUUCUUCACUGUAACUUUGUUCAACUGACGAUAAUCAAUGUACAUACACAUAGAACCAUCCUUUUUCUUCACAAACAAGGCAGGAGAACCCCAAGGUGAUACACUAGGCCGAAUGAAACCCUUAUCAAGCAAUUCCUAUAACUGAUCCUUCAACUCCUUCAACUCAGGAGGGGCCAUAAGAUACGGAGUAAUAGAAAUAGGCUGAGUGUCCGGCAACAGAUCAAUGCCAAAAUAAAUAUCUCUAUCGGGCGGCAUGCCCGAAAGAUCAGCUGGAAAAACACCAGGAAAAUCUCGUACUACUGGGACUGAAUCAACUGUAGGGGUAUCAACACUAAAAUCUCUCACAUAAUCUAGAUACGUGUCACACCCCAUCUCAACCAUUCACUGAGCUUUAAGGAAAGAAAUAACUCUACUGGAAGUGUGAUCUAAGGUACCCCUCCACUCAACUUUUGGAUCACCUGGCAUAGCCAGUGUCACGGUUUUGGCGUGACAAUCAAGAAUAGAAUAAUGGAGUGACAACCAAUCCAUGCCCAAGAUUACAUUGAAAUCUAGCAUGUUGAGCAAUAACAAAUUGGCUCUAGUAUCAAAACCACUAAGAGCAAUAAAACACGACCGAUAAUCCCGGUCCACAACAAGAGAAUCUCUCACAUGAGUAGAAAUGUAAAUAGGAGAACUCAAAGAAUCCCGAGAUACACCCAAAUGCGGGCAAAAUAAGAAGAUACAUAAGAAGAGGUAGAGCCUGGAUUGAAUAAAACUGAUGCAUCUCUAUGACAAACCAUGACAAUACCUGUGAUGGCAGAAUCGGAGACAACAGCCUCGGUACGGGCAAGAAGGGCAUAAUAUCUGGCCUGGCCUCCCCCUCUAGGGCGACCUCUACCUCCCCGACCUCCACCUUUAGCUAGCUGAGGAUAUAGGGUAGAAACUGGAGUUGUAACCAUAGCUUGAGAACUCUACGAGGCACAAUGUGGCUGAGAAUUCUAUGGAGGUGCACUCCUCCCAAGUCUGGGGCAAUCCCUCGCCACAUGGCGUGUUUCACCACACUCAAAACAAGUUUUGGGAGGAUGUGGUGGCUGUGACUGGCUCUACCCAGGUCUACUGGACUGACCUCUAAAAGCACCCCAUGCAGGAGGCGCACUAGAUACUAGCGGUGUAUAAUAAGGUUCCUGAGGCCUAGGAGGAGCAGGAAUACUACGGGCUGUUGGAAGAGCUAAAUGAACGGGGCGACUCAUAUAACCCCUACCAUGACGAACUGCAGCUGUCGCACGGGCACCAAAAUAAUGGCCCGACUCUCGAGACCUCUUGGCGUCCCUCUCCUCUCUCUCCCUAGCAUGCAUACCCUCUAUCCUCUUAGCAAUGCUCACCACCUGCUGGUAAGAAAUAUCCAUCUCCAACUCAUGAGUCGUGCUAGACCUGAUGCUGGGAGCCCCUUAAUGAACCGGCAAACCCUCUCGUGAACAGUAGAAACCAAGGGUGGAGUAUGUCUAGCCAAGCUAGUGUAACGGACAGCAUACUCUGAAAUAGUCAUAGUACCCUGACGCAAAUGCUCAAACUCUGCGCGCCAUGCAUCCCUAAGGCUCUGAGGAACAAACUCUCUCAUGAACAUAUCCGAAAACCGAAUCUAAGUCAGUGAAGCUGCCUCAUCCGGACUGUCUAACUCAUAGGUACGCCACCACUCAGAGGCGGCUCCUCGAAGCUGGAAGGUAGUGAAAGAAACCCCACUCGAUCCUGAUAUACCCAUAGUACGGAGGAUACGACGACACUCCUCCAAAAAUCCCAAGGCAUUGUCUGAUGCUAACCCACUGAAUACAUGACGAUCAUACUUCUUGAACCUCUUAAGCCUCCGUUGCUCAUCCUCUGAAGCCGCUGCCCUAUCCUCGGGCUGAUCUGGGGCUACAGACGGUAGAUGAAUAAUCUAUGGGACCUGAUCAACAUGUAGUUGCUGCUUAGGAGUGCGGGCGGUGGGAGUCUAUGCUCCUCCCCCAGCCUGAGAUGUGGCGACAGCAAGGGGAAGCAACCUUGCCUGAGCCAAAGUGGUGUACAUCUCAUGAACUGCACAAGAGUCUCCUGAAGAGUUGGAGUAGUGGCAGCAAUAACCGAAUCAUGUGCUUGGACUCCGGCUGGAAUUGCUGGUGGUACCUCGGUGGCAGCUCACACGGGUGCUCUGGUUGUACCACAUGCGCAUCCUCGGCCUCUACCCCGGCCCCGACUUCUGACGGCUCCAGUAGGGGGUGCGGGUGUCUGAUCAUCUCUAGUAGCACGUGUCCUCACCAUCUUUGAGAGAAUAAAAGAUAGAAGUUUAGAAUUGUGAUAUCAAAAUCUCGCAUGACAAGGAAAUCAAAUGUUGUAGAAUUUUCCUAACAGUUAUAUAGCCUCUAGCAGAUAAGUAUAGACGUCUCCGUACCGAUCCGCGAGACUCUAAUAAACCGGCUUUUGAUUCAUGACUCCUCUGAACCUAGAGCUCUGAUACCAACUUGUCACGGCCCCAGUUCGCCCUCCAUGAACUAUCGUGAUGGCACCUAGUCUCUACAACUAGGUAAACCUAACAAUGCGGAAAAGGAACAAUUUCGGAAAGAAAAUAAUUAAAAACCGAGAUAACAAAAUGAAACAGUGUUUAAGAUGCCGCCCGACAUAUAACAGUACAAGAAUCUCAACCUAACACUCCCAAAAUCUGGAACCCCAUGAAUCACAAGCUAAAAAAUUACAUAAAAAGCUCUAACUCCAGAAAUGUUUAUCAACAAGGAAAAUACAGAAGGGCUAUACUAGUACUGAGAAUAGAAAGGGACUCUUCGAUCUGCGGACACGACAGAUAUACCUUGAAUUCUCUACAAAAGUGCCUCGCCUCAAGGAUGAUAAGACUGAGUGGAAGUACCUGGAUCUGCACAUGAAAAACAUGCGCAGAAAGGGAAUAAGUACACCACAGCGGUACUCAGUAAGUGCCAAGCCUAACCUCGGUCGGGUAGUGAUGAGGAAAGUCAGCGCCCUACUGAAAUUAAAUGAAAUAUAUGGUGUGAUAGUAUAGAAUAAGGCAGUAAAAUUAAGUGUAACAGUAAGAAAUAACAUAGAAUAGAAAGAACAAUAGCGACUAUAACAGAGAUAAAAUAAUCACGGAAAGAUGUAUAGCUCAACAUAAAGAUAACAUUCGGGGAUCUCUCAGUAUCCCGAGGAGCUCUUAGUAUCCUCAAUAUGUGUGCCAGGGAUCUCUCAGUAUCCCGAGGAUCUCUUAGUAUCCUCAAUAUGUAUGCUGGGGAUCUCUCGGUAUCCCAAGGAUCUCUUAGUAUCCUCAAUAUGUGUUGGGGAUCUCUUGGUAUCCCAAGGAUCUCUUAGUAUCCUCAAUAUGUGCUGGGGAUCCCUUCGUAUCCCGCACUACAGUCCAAAAUGAUAUAUAUGUGUGGGGGAUCUCUCGGGAUACCGUCCCGUAGUCUCAAAGUAAAUACGCAACAACAACACGAAGAAUACUCAAUUAAAUUCAAUUUCACACCAAGGUAAAACAGGUAUUUUUAACCUAACAUGCUUCACAUAGUCCAAAUAAGGCAGGUUGAGUAAAUAAAACAAUUGAGGCAAUUAGACAUGAUUCCCUAAGCUAACAGCAGACUUGAUUGCAAGUAGAAUAAACAGGAAGGGAAAACACAAUUAAAGAUACUUAAUGAAAACAUGUUUUUCAACAAUUAGCACGAGUACGCACUCGUCACCUCACGUACAAGGCAUUUCAAAUAACAACAAUACCAAAUCCUAAGGGGAGUUUCCCCUACACAAGGUUAGGCAAGCCACUUACAUCGAACCGACUCAAAAUUAACCUGAAACCACGUUCUUGCCACGAGUUCUCGACUCCAAAUGGCCCAAAUCUAUUCAAUUAAAUUGCAUAAUGUAAAUAUAACCUCAAGUAACUGAUUCCACAAAUAAAUUCUAAGCUAAUACGCGAAAUUAGGUAAUAUGACCAAAAUGCCCCUCGGGCCCACGUCUCGAAUCGGGUAAAAUUUACAUUUUCAGAAUCCUCUUACUCUCAUCAGUGUACCCAUACCAAAAUUAUUCAAGUCCAAUGUCAAAUUCCCAAUCAAAACUCGAAAUUUAGGGCUAAGAACUUUUUCUAAAUUUUAAUCCCAAAUCAAAAAUUAAAUGACAAAACUAAGAUUAGAUUAUAGCAAUACAACUAAAAAGGGAGUAGGAAUCGUUACCCACUGAUUUCCUCUUCAAAAUCCCCCCAAAAUCGCCCUCUCCCGAGCUCCAAAUCAAUUUUCUAACUUUUGAAACUAAAUCCUCAAAAUUCUUAUUUUCUGCCCAGUAAAUCCGCAUCUGCGGUCAAAAUUCCCGUUUUUGCGCUACCGCUUCUGCUGUUGAGGGAACCGGUUCUACGGUUUUCACUAAACCUCCAUCUCCGCACCUGCGACCCAGAUUCUGCAUCUUCGGUCCCACAGGUGUGUUAACCCUUCCGAUUCUACGGUCUCUGCUGCCUUCACUUGUGGCUGCAUUUGCGGCUCUAUGCCCACUUCUGCGAGUCCACACCUGCAGUCCCCUAUCCGUAGGUGUGGUUAUGACAGCAAUGGAAAAGCUUCAGCUGCCAAAUCAAACUCAAAAACCCCCCGUUAACCAUCCAAAACCACCCCGAAGCCCCCGGGACCUCAACCAAAAGCACAAACAAGUCAUAUACCACUAUCCAAACUUAUACAAAUUUUCAAAACAUCUCAAACAACAUCGAACCAACCAAUUAACCAUGUAUUCAGGCCUAAGAACUUCAAAAACUCUCAAAUUAUGCUUUCAAUCAAAAAGUCUAUCAAACUUCGUCCGAAUGACCUGAAAUUUUGCACACACGUCACAUUCAACACUACGGAGCUACUCCAACUUCCGAAAUUCCAUUUCGACCCUUAGAUCAAAAUCUCACUAUUGAACCAGAAACUUCCAAAAUUCAACUUUUGGCAUUUCAAGCCUAAAUUAGCUACAGACCUCCAAAAUACAAUCCGAACACGCCCCUAAGCUCGAAAUCACCCAAUAGAGCUAAUGGAACCAACGGAAUUCCAUUCCGAGGACUUCUUCACAUUGUUCUGACUACGGUCCUAUUCUAGAACUUAAACUCUCAUUUAGGGACUAAGUGUCCCAAAACUCUCUGAAACUCAAAACCAAACAUCCCGACAAUUCAAAAGAGCAUAUACAAAUACGGGGAAAGCAGUUAAUAUGGGAUCGGGACAUAAAUUCUUAAAACAACCGGCCGGGUUGUUAUAGUAUGAUUCGCAAGCGGGGUAACAGAUUCAUCUAUAGUUCGCGCCAUUCGACCCUCUGGCACUGGACAGUUUAAAUAUUUAUUGGAUCGGGCUGUACGACAUCGACAUGAUUUGUGUAUGCUUGUAUUUCUUGGCUUGUAAACUUAUAAAUGAUAAUAUUGCCUUCCUGGCUUGAUAUAUAUAUAUAUAUAUAUAUAUAUAUAUAUAUAUAUAUAUAUAUAUAUAUAUAUAUAUAUAUAUAUAUAUAUAUAUAUAAUGAAUUUUUUACUGGGUACAUGUUGUUUUUGUACUCAUACUACACUUGUUGUGCAUUUUUGUUGCACAGGCUCAUAUAUGUCUAGUGGCCUAGUUCGGCGCGGCGACAUGGUUGAUACGGAGACUUAGGUGACCUGCACUCCUCGAGAUGACCCGCAGACAACAGAGUCUCUUUCUGAGUACUGUAUUGUAUUUUCUCUACUGUUCAAUUUGUAUUCCAGAUGGUUAUUGUAUUACAUUAUUUCCUAGAAAUAGCUCAUGCACUUGUGACACCUGAUUUUGGGAUGAUUAUGGAAUAUUCAAUAUUAAGUUUGUUAAAGACAUAAUUUUUAUUUCAG